UGGUAGUCCCACACCGUAAACGGUGAGUGCUAAGUGUUAGAGGAUUUCCGCCCCUUUAGUGCUGAAGUUAACGCAUUAAGCACUCCGCCUGGGGAGUACGGCCGCAAGGCUGAAACUCAAAGGAAUUGACGGGGGCCCGCACAAGCGGUGGAGCAUGUGGUUUAAUUUGAAGCAACGCGAAGAACCUUACCAGGUCUUGACAUCCUCUGAAAACCCUAGAGAUAGGGCUUCUCCUUCGGGAGCAGAGUGACAGGUGGUGCAUGGUUGUCGUCAGCUCGUGUCGUGAGAUGUUGGGUUAAGUCCCGCAACGAGCGCAACCCUUGAUCUUAGUUGCCAUCAUUAAGUUGGGCACUCUAAGGUGACUGCCGGUGACAAACCGGAGGAAGGUGGGGAUGACGUCAAAUCAUCAUGCCCCUUAUGACCUGGGCUACACACGUGCUACAAUGGACGGUACAAAGAGCUGCAAGACCGCGAGGUGGAGCUAAUCUCAUAAAACCGUUCUCAGUUCGGAUUGUAGGCUGCAACUCGCCUACAUGAAGCUGGAAUCGCUAGUAAUCGCGGAUCAGCAUGCCGCGGUGAAUACGUUCCCGGGCCUUGUACACACCGCCCGUCACACCACGAGAGUUUGUAACACCCGAAGUCGGUGGGGUAACCUUUAUGGAGCCAGCCGCCUAAGGUGGGACAGAUGAUUGGGGUGAAGUCGUAACAAGU
rnacentral:rRNA from 1 species